rnacentral:rRNA from 1 species
UACGUAGGGUGCAAGCGUUAAUCGGGAUUACUGGGCGUAAAGCGUGCGCAGGCGGCUUUGCAAGACAGAUGUGAAAUCCCCGGGCUUAACCUGGGAAUGGCAUUUGGGACUGCAAGGCUUGAGUGCGGCAGAGGAGACUGGAAUUCCUGGUGUAGCAGUGAAAUGCGUAGAUAUCAGGAGGAACACCGAUGGCGAAGGCAGGUCUCUGGGCUGACACUGACGCUCAUGCACGAAAGCGUGGGGAGCAAACAGG